rnacentral:lncRNA from 1 species
GGCUCCUUUAUAUGUACGGUAUAUUUUUCCUUAUGGCUCACAUUUUUUACAUAUCGAAUCACCUUUCUUUUUCCAACUAAAUUCGAGAUCGUUACACUCGCUAGGUUCAAAUCCGAGCACUUGAACUUAUUUUUAGUAGGACAAGCAACUCCUACAGCUUUUUUCACGGACUUGACAUCGAUACCUGGAACAGCACAAAGGAAUUGAACAUAGUGUUUGAAAGUGACAUUGAAUAUAAGUCCUGGUUUCAUGGCUUGAGAGACAUUAAUGGAACCUGCCCCAAAAUCGAAUGGAGUAGCUUGAAUAAGUUCGUUUGAUGAUUCAGCUAGAAUAGGGGCACCUGAAUGACCAGUUCUAUCGGCAGUUGUCAUCAUUGCGGAUGUGAUAGCAUCAGGACCCCAUUUAGGAUGUCUUUGCUUGAUCAAAGCAGCAAUGCCAGCAAUGUGUGGGGUAGCCAUGCUUGUACCGGAUAUAAGUGCAAAACUUUGCCCUGCAUCAAAAAAUAGACUAAUUUUCGGGUUAAGUUCGAUGGAAUCACCCCCAACGUAUAAAUCGAGAGCCGUUCAUAGUUCAUACCUUUGACGUAUUUAUCUCCUUCACUAUCAGGACUCUAUGCAGCCCAAAUAGAGGUUCCAGGGGCCAUGACAUUUGGUUUAAGUACAUCAACAGUUUGCAUAAGUGCGUUUUUCACAUCAGGACCUCGAGAAGAGUAGGAUGCCACAACCGGAGCCUGCCCCGUAUAAAUUGCUUGCCUUCCAUCUAAUAUCCUUGCUUUUGCAGCAAAUGCCACUGCUUGUCCUCUUUUGUCCCUAAUAGUAUUGGCAUUGUAAUACUCCCAUAAAGCCUAAUAGGACUUAUAAUUUAUUUCUGAAAUGAAGCAUAGCACUACCCAAAAUUUCAUCUUUAGUCAUUCUCAAUGCAAAAAGCUUAAAAGAGAAACUAAAAAGGCUAAUGCAAGGUGUAAAGUAGAUGAACAUAUAAGUCAAACGAAGCAACAAUGGAUGGAUGAUGGGAUUUUCCAAGUGUCUUUUGCUGCAGAUUUUGGGGGUGGACAAUGGAGAGGAAGAGCAAUAAUGGCAUAGCUGAUUAUAGCAAAAGGUGGUGAAACAAUGAAACAAACAAGUGAAUGCUUUUUAUGUUCCAGAACACACUUGUAGGAGAAAUGUACUAAUCAGGACUGUCCGAUCGAUGCUCGACAUUUUGUUCGUGCUAAGCUCGAGUUAGAAUUGACAGGUCUAGAUGUUUUUCAUGCCAUGGAUAAACCAGUGAGUGCAACUAGCAGUGAGAGGUGAAGAAGGCAACAUUUGACAUCUAAACAUUUUUUAAGUACACAACAGCAAUGUCCAAACCAUAGUAUAUUUUAGAUAAAUCCUAAACUGAUAUCAGAUUCAGUUAAACUCUAAAACCAAAAACAUAAGAACAUGUUACACACUUACAUGUACAUAGUUUCCUCUUAUUUUCAUGUUUUAGGACAGGCAACUAUCCUAUAUGGUAUUGGUGUUGUUGGCACUGCCACCAUUGUUUGCUGCUGCUAAUAUAUGGUCAGCUUGCCUGUACUCGCCUCGCCUGGAGGAUUGAGGUAAGCCUGGUAGAUGGUUGUCUCAAUCACGGUAGCCACCACAAGAAACACAGAACGAAUAUCACUAGGAUUAUUAUGAAAAUGGAUCAACUUUACUAUCUGUCAUUAUUUUUAUUGGCACCUUAUGUCAUCAACUUCACACUAUGCGGCAGCAGAGGGCUAGGGUUCCAAAACCCUGGCUGCUAACUUGUUAACAAAAAAUGGGCCUAAGGGCCAGAAUAAAAUUUGGGCUAAAAAUAUAAAUUAGGCUGCCUUUAAAAAAUAGGUUCAGCAUAAUCAGAUUUUCAAAUUUUGGAAAAAAAAAAAGCUGAAUCUCAUUUUCAAUUCAAAUUAAAAAGAUUUAAAAGUUUGAUUUACUUUCACAAUUUGAGAAAAUUUCAAUUUUUUUCUCUUAUUUUAAAAUUUUACUUUUAAACUUAAUUCUAGAACCAAAUUAAACUUUUAACUCGCUUCUAGAAUUAGUUUAAAAGUCAGUUUUAAAAAGAAAAGUUCACAUAACCCACUAAUUCAAUAAUAUCAAGGCCAAAUAAGCUCGAAAUUGACUGUCCGGACAAAUUUAGGUAUCUACAUAAACAUAUGUAUAUUUUCUUAGAAAGAUGAAUGAAUUGAGAGAAAUUCCUCAAUAUUUACGUUGCCUUUGAUUAGUAACAAUGUAUCACCUUAAACCUGUGCAUGUAAUUCAUGUAUUCAUUUGUACCUUGUACGAAUAGUGAUUUCUCUUUGAUGGACAAGAAAGUGAAUGAUGACGGUGAUGAUUUAAUGAACAAACUGAUAGAAAUAAAGGGUUGAUUGCUUGAAGUGCAAGUAACACAUUUUCUUCAUUUGUUUGGUUGAAAAGGGAGAUAAAUAGCAAGAACUUGAUGUUGAACCUACAUUAAUAGCUAAAGGAACUCUUACAGUGUGCUUUUUACCCAUUUCCCCAAAUGAAUAAGCAUUUGUUGUCUCAAUUGCUUCAAAUACAAGCCUUAGGUGCCUUCAACCUCUUCUUUUGAUUCUGAAUGACUUUGGAACUACGGUAACAUUUACGCCAAAAGGCAACUACCCCGUUUCCUCUUAUUUUGGAUAAACCCUAAACCAACACCAGAUUCAAAUACACUCUAAAAUCUAUAAAAUAAAAACAAGUACAUAGUUUCCUCAUCUCUUCAUAUUUCUGGAUAGGUGGCUACCCUGUUUCCUCUCAUUGAGACCACCCGGUUUUUAACCCUUUCAUGUUUAACAAGCGCUAUCACAGGAAUUACAUAUGUCGCUGCUGCGGACACAUAAAGCAAGUUCUUGUAUGAAGUACUGGCAGCUGUGAAAAUCGAAGAGUUUGGCUGUGAUGGAAAGAUACUAACUAGCGAAGUAUAAUAUGAAAGAAGGAGAAAACAUGUACAUACGUAAAGGAUCACGGAAUAUGGAAAGCCUGUUAUAACAACCAGAAUCGUCCAAACUGAUAAAUAGAAAGCCAAACUAUUGAGAGUGAAGAAAUAGAAUAGAUUAAAAGGUUUCAUGAUUAUCUGUCCUGCAUAAUGUGGCCUUGGAUCUUGGCCCAAGCUGGUAUUGGUGUUGUUGGCACUGCUACUACCAUUAUUUGUUGUUGCUGGUUUGUAGUUAUCUUGCCAGUAACCCCCUGGAGGGUUGAGACCGGCCUGAUAGGUGGCUGUCACAAUCAGGAUAGCCACCACAAGAACCAUAGCACGAAUAUCACUGCGAUUAUUACGAGAAUAAAUUCCCAAAUAUUUGUCUCGUAUAUCAAUCAGAGUUAACUUCCUGCUCAAGUAAUCUCUGAGAGUCAUGUUUGAGGUAAGAUUGGAUGCCCUUUUUGCUCUAGCACGACUUAGAAUCUUACCGAUCUCUAAGCUCUGCAUUGUUCCUUGAAGGUGAAAUGUGUCCAUAGCUGUCAUACCAUUGGAGUUCUUGACAUUCACAUUGACAUGCUUAACCAACAACUUCACAACCUACAUCAUCAUAGACAAAGUUUAAGUUAAUUAACUAUAAUUGUGUAGCAAAUAAUGUGAAUGAGCAUAUUUAAAGCUUGCCUGAGGCUGAAUAGUAGAUACAGCAAUAUGCAAGGCUGUGUUACCGUCUUCAUCUUUCCAGGUUAGAAUAUCUUCUUUGUUAACUCGAUUUAGCCAUCCCAGAAGGACUUUGAGAGCACUAAUUGAACCAUUUUUCACGGCUAUGUGCACUGCGGUCUCAAACUUAACUGUGGUGUCUUCAAUAGAUGAUGGACAAGCAAAUAAAAACUCAGCUAAAAGUUCAGCAUCAUCGAUCUCAGCUAAAUAGUGUAACGGUGUCAUCAUCCCCUUUGCUUUGACACGAAUCAGAUUACUAUUGAUCGUGAUUAGUCCUCUAACCAUAUGACUGCAGUUAUGCUGCAGAGCAAGAUGGAGAGGACUAAGUCCCAUAAGGUUUAGCUUCGAAGAAAGUGAUGGUUUCAAAUUUGCAACUUCCAUUGCAAAAUGGGGUUUACCUGACCUGGCUGCCUGAUGCAAGGGUGUAUCGGUAAUCGGUAGCUGAUCAACACGAUCCAGGACAUAUGGAUCCUCGGCAAACCUUCUAUACAAUGCAUCAAUGUCUCCAUUUUGUGCCACAGUCCGCAACUAAUCAUCCAUAAUGCUGUGUUUUUUUGGGGGGGGUGAACUUUGACAACAAUGAAUUUGCUGAAAUUUUUUGCAGUGUUGUCUUAUAAAGAGGAGGUUGCGUGUAGGCUAAUGCAUGCAAUGUCAGCAGAAUUUGAACAAAAGUAUAUAUAUAUAUUUAUGUGCAAAAGAAGUGAGCACACAUUGACAUAACAGUCUUAAUUUGUUAGUAUUAUCCUUAUAUUUGACUAAAAUUUUUCCAAGGAAUAUUAUUUUUAAAACCCUUGAGUGAAACUGAAAGGAUGUUUACUGAGGAUUAAAAAAAUAGGUUAAGAGUCCACAAGAAGAUGAACAAACUAGAUUAACUUGACAAAUUUAGCCCUUAACAUUUACAAUUUUUUUAAAAAAAAAUUAAAAUUUAUCAUUUUAUAAAUAUUGAGGUUAAAUUUAUUGAAUUUUUUAGAAUUUUAACUAAAAUGACAAAUUUUGUAAACAUUGAGAGCUAAAUUUGUUGAACUUUUUAUAUUUAGAAUAAAAGUAAUAGAAUAUGUAAACAUUAGAGGACUAAAUUUGUUAUUAACCUAACAUGAGUUUUUUUAUUAAUUUAAUUGGUAAACAUUGAGGCUAAUUAAUUUUUUAUCAACUUUUAAGAAACUUUAAAUCUGAUUUUAUUAUUUAGCCUAAGGCCCUAAAAAUAUCAAGAACGGGCUGGCUCAAUAAUUAACUAUGGCUAAUUGGUUCGUCAAACUAUACAUAAUUACAGUGGGACUAUUACGAAAAUAUCUAAGUAAUAUUCGAAUAGAUCAUUGGAAAACAACGAUGAAAUAUCUUCAAAGAACUAAAAUUUACGUACUUACAUAGUUACAUACUUACAUUCGAAUAUAUUACUUGACCAGGAAGUUAACUUUGAUUGCUCAACGUGACAAAUAUUUGGGAAUUGGUUCUUAUAAUAAUCCUAGUAAUAUUCGUGCCAUGGUUCUUGUGGGGGCUAUGCUAAUUGAAGCAAUCACUUACCAGGCUGGGUCAGGUUUGGGCCGGGAUGCAACAGUAACCCCUAAGCCCAGCCCAUGGAUGCUGCCAGCUCUCCAUUUCCUAGUGGACUCAUGAUUCUUAACGCAACAGUCGUGUUACUUUUGCAAUAAUAUUUUUGAUGCUGUCAAAUAUAUAUACAUACAUUCAUUUGUAGCUUGUAGGAAUGGUGAUUUCCCUUUGUUGAACAAGAAAGUGAUGAUUAUUUAAUGAACAAGCUCUUACAAAUAAAGAGGUCGGUUUCUUGAAGAGCAAGCAAUACAUUUCUCCAUUUGCUUGUUUGAGAAGAUUGAUAAAUAUCAAGAACUUGAAGCAGAACCUACAUAAACAGCUAAAGGAACUCUUACAAUGUGUUUCUUACCCUUUAACACCAUUUCCCCAAAUGUGUAAGCAUUUGUUGCCUCAAUUGCUUCAAAUACGAGCCUUAGGCGCCUCGAACCUCUUCUUUUGAUCCUAAACGACUCCGGAACUACGGUAACAUUUACGCCUAAUGGCUCCUUUAUAUGUACGGUAUAUUUUUCCUUAUGACUCACAUUUUUUACAUAUCGGAUCACCUUUCUUUUUCCAACUAAAUUCGAGAUCGUUACACUCGCUAGAUUCAAAUCCGAGCACUUGAACUUAUUUUUAGUAGGACAAGCAACUCCUACAGCUUUUUUCACGGACUUGACAUCGAUACCUGGAACAGCACAAAGGAAUUGAACAUAGUGUUUGAAAGUGACAUUGAAUAUGAGUCCUGGUUUCAUG